CCCCCGCUUCACCUCCCUGAGCGGGCCCCGCUGCCUGCGACGCGGCGGGGUUUUCCGCCCGGAUUUCCGGGCAUUUUUUU
rfam:Acidovorax sp. JS42, complete genome.